rnacentral:lncRNA from 1 species
GAGAAAGACAGAGAGAGGGACCGGGAUGCGCGCCAAAACUCGUUCGCUCAGCUUCAAUGGAUUUCACUCUAAGUUUGUAAUACGUCGGUGAAGAUACCAGAAAUAACGAACAAGAUGAAACGCAACGUUCCCUAUCUUCUGAUAAAAACGAAUUACGUCGGAAAAAAACGUCGUGGACCGAAUCGAACCCGGACAUUACGCGAGACUUUAUCUUCGCUUUGAAUAAAAGAGGAAAAGAAAUACGAGAAGAUUCAUUUUUACAAUGGAGAACUCUAAGUGAAUUAUGUACAGUAUAUUCACAGAACUACGUCCUGUUGAUCGUUCGAAGCAUUUUUUACUUCAAAACGUAUAAUUGUAAAAUUUGCAAUUUACUAUAGAAUCAUUAUUUAAUGUAACUUGCCAUAUCGCAUUAAAAAAUUACAUUUA